rnacentral:lncRNA from 1 species
AAAAAAAUCUUCUGUCGCGCCCCCGCAGGCUGUGUACGUUGAGGAGUGACUUACGUCUCCUUCCCCGCCCCAAAUCAGUGUGCUCAUGUCACUGAACCCGCUGUCAUUCUGGGGUCCCUAGAAGUACAGCGGAGCCGGGAAGUUCUUACUAUUACAUUCAAAACCACCCGAAGUGCUUUUUUUCCUCUCGUGUCCCGUCCUGUUUUGCCCCAUGAAUCCAGCCUCCCUUUUCUGCUGACCACUGUACUGCCUCCGUUGGAUCAGACUCUGAACUAUAGCUGUUUUUAUCCUUUUCUCAUUGUACCUUUUUUUUCCCCUCUUUGUUACAUAACAGUUUUGUGCAUUUUUAAUUUUCUAAGCUAUUUGCUACUCAAAGAACUGGAUCAAAAACAGCCAGAAGACGAAAGGGAAAAUAACGAAGCUAGGCUGCCGCUCUGAGCCUAGGCACUUAUGUCUGACGUCAGCCGUGAGCUUUUGCUCAUCUCGACUGCCAGUUGUCUGGGCAGCUGCCUUUUUCUAAUGGAGGCGGUGACAGAAGUAGAUAGGGAUUCUCAGUGAGCGGGAGUUUAGGAGACAUAUGGGCAUAAGACUACCUCUUCUCAUCUACUUGAAAAUCUAAUGAUAUAAUUAUGUUUGUUAAAAUUAUACGAUGUCUAAAAUCCAAGGGUUAAUUUACACUUAGGGUUCUCUCUGUUUUCCAGCAAAUGGAACUUUGUUUGAGACAGUUGGGGAGGAAAAUCCUCAAGAAGAUUCCUCGAAACGUGGAUGUACAGGGAACAGCAGGAAGAGGCCAUGGGGCUCCGACAGCCCAAGUCUGGAUCGCAGCCUGUGUUCCCAUCCCGGGACCAGGACGCAGCCCAACCCCGCCCCGCAUCCAUGAGGUGUCAGAAAAGUCUAGGACUCUUAAUUUCAUCAGACAUGUUUAGGAAAGAAACUGCUUCUGCCCCAUUUCUUGUCUUGUUUUAGAGAUUACUCCACGUGCCCAUCGGAAGAAACCUGUAAAUAGGAACGAACAAAGGUGUUUCCUGGAGAAGAGACCAUUUGUUCUGCACCAACAGGAGACUCAUUAUGUGGGUCCAACUCCACUGGCAUCCUUUCUGUGCAGAAAACCUCAAGUAAAUGUUUUCUUCUGCCUUUAAAAAUGCUUCCAAGGGUAGAACCUGUCCCCACAGGUCAUGACUGCAGAGAAGGCUUUGUCAAAAUGUGUAAUUUAUGCACACCUGCUCCUUGCACAUUUCCUCUUUUGGAACAGUGAGACACUAAUGAUAACCAAGUUCAGACACACUGGCCGGGUGCCGGCAGAUGGCUUUUCUAUAGACAAACUAGGUUAGUGUGGAAGAUACAGGUUAAAAUAAACUAUGCUGUUUUAUUUAUCUUCCCAAUCUGGUUGGCAGCUAGACUUUUUUAGGGUCUCAUUUAAUGGCCCUAUUUUUCAUUAUUAUUAUAUUUAAUGAUAGGGCAGCAUUUAAGACACAAACUCUUCUGUUUCUCAGGCUGCCUGCAGGAGAUGUCACCGUAAAUUAUCUGCUGUCUACAUGGUACAAGGCUCAUUGACUCAUCUGAAACUUGUUUUGUUAAUUUCUUUAAUAUUUCUAUCACAAGGGUGGUGAGAGGGCCUGGGCUUUUAGCUGCAGCUUUUCAAGACUCCUAAUCUCCUCCUGCCCUACAGGAAUGGGUGGGAGUCUUUGAAUUUUUACACUAUAGUAAUUUGCAUUCCCACAUAAGUCGAGUGUUACAAAAACAUUCCUUCAAAGUUAUUUGUGCUACAAAAAAUAUGCCAGAACCACAUAGACAAAGCCAUUGCUAGAAAUGUCAUUCCAAUGUCAACUCUGGAUAACAGGCUACCAUAACCACUUUUCCUUCCUAUAGACUCAGCUCAUUUGUCUAUUAUACUGUUCUUGGCAUCUUGAAACACCUAUUGCUACUCAGGUACUCAUUUUCCUAUUUAUUAGUGACUCACCUUUCUCAUUUUUUUAAACCAGUUUUCUUCCAAGAGGGGAAAUCUCAAUUUCUGGUAUCUGAAUAACUUUCAAUGUAUCAGUUGUUUUCCCAUUUGCUUUUACCUGUACUGUAUUCCUUGUCAUCUCAAAUGGCAUCUAUACCUAGCUACUUGCCAUUCCAGAAGUUUCCUUUCCUUCCAGUUCCACUUAAUUUAUCCUCCACUGUCCUGGUUCCUGGCUCUUUCCUCUUUAUGCCCUAUUUUACUUACUUUGGGAGCUUAAAGGAUUCUAUAAGACCUUGUUUUGGGUUCCUGCAUUGGAGCCAUGGUUACGUUGCAGAGAAGAAUAGAAAAUGGGUUCAACUCCUGUUUCCUUUCCCCAACGCCUCCUCGAGUCUCAUCAUCCGCUGAUAGGUGAUGCCUUACAGGUUGCAUAGCACUGGAACUUUCCUAGAGUAAUGGUUCUACUGUCAGGGUUUUUCUGGGCUCGUUCUUCCACUGACCUAAUUAUGAUCUAUGCCUAACAGAGCCCCAGUACAACUAUUUUGCAGAAUGGCUAUUACCCUAGAAUUACUAUAGCACAUAUUGAGAUAUAGUUGUACUCCCCAGUAGGUAGGAACUGACCCCAACAAUAAACUUUGAU